UGGGUUCUCGCUCCUUUUUAAAAACUGAGAUCUCAAACUGUUUUAAUUAGAAAACAAACCCCAAGUGUUUUCUCCAGGGAAACAGACACCUGGGAAGGUGCAAGACUUAGGACAUUAUUCAAAACAGUGUCUAGAUCAGCCGUUCUCAACCUGUGGGUCGCGACCCCUUUGGAGGUCGAACGACCCUUUCACAGAGGUCGCCUGAGACCAUCGGAAAACACAGAUACUUACAUUACGAUUCAUAACAGAAGCAAAAUGACAGUCAUGAAGUAGCGACGACAAUAAUGUUAUGGUUGGGGGUCACCGUGGCAUGAGGAGCUGGAUUAAAGGGCCGCGGCGAUAGGAAGGUGGAGAACCCUGGGCUAGACUUCCUGCCUGCUGGGAGGCUGGAACUCUGCCGCGGAACAGAACUCAGAACCUGGACGGAGAGUGGCUCCCGAGCUGAUGUCACACAGCCGGGUCCGGAGGGCCUGGCAGAGACAGAUGGAGCCUGUGGCGUGGAGUGCUCUGGCCGAGGACCGCUCCUGAGAGUCAGGUCUGAGCUCUGCCGGCGGCUGGGCCGGUGCCGGCUGCCGGGCCGCCGCCCGGGGUCAGAGGGGAGGUGGCUCCUGCCGAGGGCCCUUUCUGUGUGUGACGCGUCCUCCUCCUCACCGUCCGGUGCGGCUGGCCUCAUGCGGGUCCGGACGGCUGGACGCAGGGACGAGUGCCGACCAGCCGGGCGGUCUGCUUGUCCCAGGGGGUGCCUUUCGCGCCGGCACGGCCCCGCCUCUGCGCGGACCGGCUUCCAGGCUCAGAGGGUUUGAUUACCCGGAGUGCGGAUCCCAGAACCAUGUUCGGAUUUGAAGGCUUGGUCGACAAGGUGGACGUGGAGGUCUUGAUUGCCAUCGGUGGUGCCUUAUUGAUCUCCUCCUUUUUCCUCCUGUGCUGCUUCCUCUGUCUCUACUGCAAGCUGGCCAGCACCCUGAGGAAACUAUGACGAUCAGCAGCAUCCGCCGCCGAGGCAGGCGGCUGGGUGUGGAAGGCCGUGCUGAGAUGCUGCCGCCCGCACUGCGCGGCCAGCCCGCCGGAUGGAGCCCCGAGCGCGCCGAUGCAGAGACUGCCCUGAGCUGGCGCCCCCGUGUGCCAUGCCC